rnacentral:rRNA from 1 species
AGAGUUUGAUCAUGGCUCAGGACGAACGCUGGCGGCGUGCGUGAUACAUGCAAGUUGAGCGCUGAAGGUUGGUACUUGUACCGACUGGAUGAGCAGCGAACGGGUGAGUAACGCGUGGGGAAUCUGCCUUUGAGCGGGGGACAACAUUUGGAAACGAAUGCUAAUACCGCAUAAAAACUUUAAACACAAGUUUUAAGUUUGAAAGAUGCAAUUGCAUCACUCAAAGAUGAUCCCGCGUUGUAUUAGCUAGUUGGUGAGGUAAAGGCUCACCAAGGCGAUGAUACAUAGCCGACCUGAGAGGGUGAUCGGCCACAUUGGGACUGAGACACGGCCCAAACUCCUACGGGAGGCAGCAGUAGGGAAUCUUCGGCAAUGGACGAAAGUCUGACCGAGCAACGCCGCGUGAGUGAAGAAGGUUUUCGGAUCGUAAAACUCUGUUGGUAGAGAAGAACGUUGGUGAGAGUGGAAAGCUCAUCAAGUGACGGUAACUACCCAGAAAGGGACGGCUAACUACGUGCCAGCAGCCGCGGUAAUACGUAGGUCCCGAGCGUUGUCCGGAUUUAUUGGGCGUAAAGCGAGCGCAGGUGGUUUAUUAAGUCUGGUGUAAAAGGCAGUGGCUCAACCAUUGUAUGCAUUGGAAACUGGUAGACUUGAGUGCAGGAGAGGCGAGUGGAAUUCCAUGUGUAGCGGUGAAAUGCGUAGAUAUAUGGAGGAACACCGGUGGCGAAAGCGGCUCUCUGGCCUGUAACUGACACUGAGGCUCGAAAGCGUGGGGAGCAAACAGGAUUAGAUACCCUGGUAGUCCACGCCGUAAACGAUGAGUGCUAGAUGUAGGGAGCUAUAAGUUCUCUGUAUCGCAGCU